UGGUUGGUCAGCCAGGGAGACAAAGGGCAGGGAGAUCUGGAGCCUUCAAUAAAUCCUGCAGUGAGGUAAUCAGGAUGUUCCUAACUCCUGUCUCAUCCAUCACCUCAUUGAAGCUGGUUGGUCAGCCAGAGAGAGAGAGAGAGAGAUAGAGAGAGGGAGACCUGGAGCCUUCAGUCAAUCCUGCAGCCGGUCCUCAGGAAAGUGCUGACUCCAUAGACUUCCCAAUUGCUGGGUGUCUCGUCCAACACCUCAUUGAAGUUGAUUGGUCAGCCAGAGAGACAAAGGGCAGAGAGAUCUGGAGCCUUCAAUAAAUCCUGCAGUGAGGUACUCAGGAAAGUCCUGACUCAAUAGCCUUCCCAGCUGCGGGGUGGAUUGUCCAUCACCACAUUGAACGCAGUUGGUCUGCCAGAGGGAGACAAAGGGCAGGGAGAUCUGGAGCCUUCAAUAAAUCCUGUAGUGAGGUAUUCCUGAUGUCCCUGACUCAGCACAAUUCCCAAUUCCUGUCUCGUCCAUCACCACAUUGAAGACGGUUGGUCAGCCAGAGAGAGAUGGAGAGUGAGAUCUGGAGCCUUCAGUAAAUCCUGCAGCCAAAUGUGACAAAACCCAUUUACGGCUCAUUGAGAAAGUACAGAGCAUGGGAUACAUGGAAACCUGUCUGUCUGGAUACAGAAUUCCUGGC